rnacentral:rRNA from 1 species
UACAGAGGUCUCAAGCGUUGUUCGGAUUCAUUGGGCGUAAAGGGUGCGUAGGCGGCGCGGUAAGUCGGGUGUGAAAUCUCGGAGCUUAACUCCGAAACUGCAUUCGAUACUGCCGUGCUUGAGGACUGGAGAGGAGACUGGAAUUUACGGUGUAGCUGUGAAAUGCGUAGAUAUCGUAAGGAAGACCAGUGGCGAAGGCGGGUCUCUGGGCAGUACCUGACGCUGAGGCACGAAGGUCAGGGGAGCAAACGGG